UACGGAGGGGGCGAGCGUUAUUCGGAAUUAUUGGGCGUAAAGGGCGCGUAGGCGGCCCGGUAAGUCAAAGGUGAAAUCCCUCGGCUCAACUGAGGAACUGCCUUUGAAACUGCUGGGCUUGAGUCCGGGAGGGGGUAGCGGAAUUCCCGGUGUAGUGGUGAAAUGCGUAGAUAUCGGGAGGAACACCAGUGGCGAAGGCGGCUUCCUGGCCUGUUCUUGACGCUGAGGCGCGGAAAGCUAGGGGAGCAAACGGGG
rnacentral:rRNA from 1 species